rnacentral:piRNA from 1 species
UACAAAUCGUGUAUGGGUCCUAACAAUGC